rnacentral:tRNA from 1 species
GGAGAGGUGGCAGAGCGGUUGAAUGCACCGGUCUUGAAAACCGGCGUGGGCUCACGCCCACCGAGGGUUCGAAUCCCUCCCUCUCCGCCA